CGCAAGCCUGACGGAGCAACGCCGCGUGAGGGAUGAAGGCCCCUGGGCUGUAAACCUCUUUUAUCAAGGAAGAAGAACUGACGGUACUUGAUGAAUAAGCCACGGCUAAUUCCGUGCCAGCAGCCGCGGUAAUACGGGAGUGGCAAGCGUUAUCCGGAAUUAUUGGGCGUAAAGCGUCCGCAGGCGGUUUUACAAGUCUGUCGUUAAAGCGUGGAGCUCAACUCCAUUUCAGCGAUGGAAACUGUAAGACUCGAGUGUGGUAGGGGCAGAGGGAAUUCCCGGUGUAGCGGUGAAAUGCGUAGAUAUCGGGAAGAACACCAGUGGCGAAAGCGCUCUGCUGGGCCAUAACUGACGCUCAUGGACGAAAGCCAGGGGAGCGAAAGGGAUUAGAUACCCCUGUAGUCCUGGCCGUAAACGAUGAACACUAGGUGUCGGGGGAAUCGACCCCUCCGGUGUCGUAGCCAACGCGUUAAGUGUUCCGCCUGGGGAGUACGCACGCAAGUGUGAAACUCAAAGGAAUUGACGGGGGCCCGCACAAGCGGUGGAGUAUGUGGUUUAAUUCGAUGCAACGCGAAGAACCUUACCAGGGCUUGACAUCCUGCGAAUCCCUUGGAAACGAGGGAGUGCCUUCGGGAGCGCAGAGACAGGUGGUGCAUGGCUUCUCAGCUC
rnacentral:rRNA from 1 species